UUCCUUUUUUAAGUUGGAUUUAAAGAUAGGUGAAAAACAGGAAGGAAUCACUGGAAGCAAGAAUGGAGAUCUCACAGUGAGUUUUGGAGGCCAGGGGAGAGCCUGCAACCUGUGGGUAUUUUUUCUUGCCUAAAGGCUUUCCCAUUUCACCACAGAAAUUGCAUAUGGUAGUGUUGUUGGGGAGCCCAUUCAACAGACUUAUGGAAAAAUCUAUAGAAUCAUUCUAUUGCAAAUUACUCAGUUGCCAGAACUCCUUUCUAGAACAAAGUGGAAUAGAAAUGCAUAAACAGGCCUCUGGGUCACCCCGCAGAAAGACUGGCGUUCAGGGCAGCAUCAAGUCACUGACUUCCCUCAAAGGAGAAGCAGCAAGCUGGCGUGGGACUACGGACCCUGGGGGAGAGCUGGAGGAGAGGUCCUCAAGAUGUCAUCGCUAGGCUACCCAGUGCCUACCCCACAUCAGAAUUCCCCGGAAUGUCAGAUGAAAGGAAAACUUCAGUGCCCAUCAGAUAAGUUUCUCAAAGGAGAAGUCAAUGAAGAGCUAUAAGAUGAAUGCUCUGGACUAAUUGGAUGAAAUAAAAUAUGUGCAGCAGCAUGCUUCUCCAGAGUCUGCA